UACGUAGGGGGCAAGCGUUGUCCGGAUUUAUUGGGCGUAAAGAGCUCGUAGGUGGUUCGGUAAGUCGGAUGUGAAAUCUCCAGGCUCAACCUGGAGGGGUCAUUCGAUACUGCCGUGACUAGAGGUCGGUAGGGGAGUGUGGAAUUCCUGGUGGAGCGGUGAAAUGCGCAGAUAUCGGGAGGAACAUCAGUGGCGAAGGCGGCCCUCUGGUCCAGUACUGACACUCAAGUGCGAAAGCGUGGGGAGCAAACAGG
rnacentral:rRNA from 1 species